GUCAGAAUGUGCGCCGCUAACUGCUUUGUUGACUAUUCUGUGCAAUGGCGGAUGUAGCCCAAAUCGUGCUUAUAAUAACUGUGCUGCUAACAGGGCUUCUAACAUGUAUACCGAUACAUGAUCAGUUAUAUAACUAUGUUGAGGAACAAAGGAGUCAGAAUGCAAUUCUACGCAGGGCACUGCUAAUGACAACACUCGUCCCGCGACACAGACCCCCGCCACCGGUUUUGGACGAGACCCGGUCGGACCUCUAGUUGGUAUUGGGUGUUCCUGUAAAGGAUCUACACUUUGCUUUGUGCUCUGUAUCAAAGGCUCUGUAGUAAAUGUGAAUGUGGCAGUGUAAGGGGUGUUCAGUAGCAGUUGCAAGUAGGUCCGAGCUACUUAACCAUUACAAACUCAAACAUCCACAUUUUGGACGUACUGUCCGCUAUCCAUGUACAUAUUGGAAAUGUCCAUGCUCAUUCAAGACAUGGAAUGCUUUAAUCGUUCAUCAAAGAGUGCAUUCCACACACGUUUGUCACACUCAAAAAGAGCUGUAUACUUUCAGCUGUCACUUAUGUACAUGUAAACAUUUAUCAAAUGAAAGGGAGUUCUUUGUUCAUAUCAACACCCAUCUGAGGAAAAAUGAAAACGUUUGUUGGCUGUAGUUUUCAAACUAGCAUUUAUGGAACCUUUAAGUCUCAUAAGAGCCGCCAACACACACCUCACACACUAACUAAACAACAACAUUACCACCUCCAUCAGUACAGGAUUCAAUUGCUGAUUGCCAGGAUGAUGAGUCUGUAGACGAGGAAGUUUCUGGGACAUCCCUAGAUCCAGGUCAACAGCAGGACUUCCUUCAUCCAAGCCAUGGAGGAGGCCUGUGACCAGAUGGAGGUAGCAGCAAUGCAAGGAUGGAUUCGUCAUUCAAGACGUUUCUUUCCAAGGUGUCUUGCUCAUGACAACAUUGCCUGCGAUGUUGAUGAAAUUCUCAGAUCCAGCUAGGCGAAGAGACAAUGUCUAGUUGUUGUUUUUUUAACUUACAAUACGUAAAGUGACGUUUGGGCGUGUUGAGAAAUAAAUGAGUUUCUUCAGUGCAACAUUUGUCUUGUGUAAUGUUUGGUGAAUUUACAUUAUAUUUGUACUUUGUUGAUAGUAGCCUACUGUAAUCCUAGGGAAGUAGAAGUGCUAAAAGUGUUUUAGGUUUAUCACAGCAGCGUGUAACUCGUGCAAACAGUAUAGUAAUGUGAAACGUGUGUGCUUCAUAUGGUGAAAUGCAGAACUCCAUUCAGGGUCACCAAAAAGGCUGAAUACUGUGAGCUGCAGACAAGUCAGAGUUUCUCUCUUCUUCCCCCCCCCCAAGGCGCAGGGAGGCGACCCUUUUGUCACUCCAAUGUAGCAGCACUCAGCCGGGGACUUAUGAGUGCGCCUCACACCAUGGGCCACUCCAGAGUAGAAUAGUGUCCAUCCCCUAUCCAGGAGUGUGGUUCCAGAGCCGAGGCUGUGCGUAGAGGUAAGCCCCACCAGAUCCAACUGAUAACGCUCCACCUCCCGCACAAGCUCCGGCUCCUUCCCCCCCCACAGAGGUUAGGUUCCACGUCCACAGAGCCAGCCUCUGCCUCCCAGGUCUGUUCCGUCUAGACCCCCCACGGUCACUGCCACCCUUGUAGCAGCGUGGGUUUCCCCCACAGGUGGUGAGCCCAUGGGGAGUAGAGUCUUGGGUUGCUGCGUCACUCCUUCAGGCUGUCCCCGGCCGGGCUCCGCGGCAAGCCCGGCCACCAGACGCUCGCUGUCGGGCCCUCCAUCUGGGCCUGGCUCCAAAUGGGGGCCCUGGGCUUCCUCCGGGCCGGGUAACUCCUUCCCUCUUCAGUUUUUUUUAAUAGGGUCAUGAAUAAUAACGGAGUAUAUUUUUAGAUGCCACGUAGAUGCUCUUAUUGCCAGUCUCAGGCGGUUAAGAGGGUGUGGGAUGGUUGUGAGCGAAUGACGCCUGAAAAUCCUCACCUUGUUUCUAUAGCUCCUGAAAUAGGACGUCGUCAUGCAGUGAAGCCAUGGCCAAUUUCCACCUUCACUGGAAAGCAAAAAAAGUAUAAGUUUUCCUUAUGGUUGAAAUGCACUAAAUGACACGUAAUGUUUGUUAGUUUGUACUGCUUGUAGGAGCCUCCCAUCUGCGAAGCAUUGUCGAUGGUUUUGUGGUGACUCCAGCAGAUCUUUCCAUUGGCAUCAUGUCUACUCUGGGGGCCUGUGCAAAGCACUUACGGACUGAGGUGCUGAAUGCUGUUGUGCCCGGUCAUCCAGAUGUUGUUGUCCUUUUGGGGCCAGGAAAUGACUUGACCUGGGGUAAUACAUCUUCAGAUGUUGUGUAAUUUGUUAGCUUGAGUUAGGAAUUGAGAAAAUUGAUUUACUGAACAUCUAUAUAUUUUUUUGGUGGUAGUGGUGGAUUUUCCUCAGAUACCAAGGUUUGUCCUCACAUGAGCUUUGGUGCAGAGACAAUUUGAGUUAAAUAUGCAGAUGUGUAGAAGUGUGAUUUACACAAAUAGUUAGAUUGUAGCUAUCCAGAUCCAUAUUGAUUGACACCAUACGUGUAGAGGCUAGUGAAUUGGCUGUAACAUCUAAAGAAUUGGGUGUGUUUCUGAAACAGAACGCUGUGUUUGACAUAAGCGGGGGCAGUUGAUUUGGGCAAGCCAGAGAGGUACAGCUUGCAGGGGUUGACCAAUGAGUCUGUGGUAAAGGAAAAGAUGAAAUGUUCGAUAGAGAUGGAAUGCGUUAUUGUGCCUUAAUGGAGCAGUCAGUCACACGAAAAGUACUUUGUGGUUGUAGAUUUUGCCGUACGUAAUGACUCUGGGCUGUCAUGUGAAUUUGGCCGGUCUGUGGCACACCAUGUCAGGCAGCUGUGAUGGUGACAGCAGUGGUGACAUGAAUGUUGCAAUUGAUUUUCAGGCAAGCAGUUCUGUCGACAACAGCAUGAAUGUUUCAACUGAUGUUGAAGGAAGCAGUUCUGUCAGGGACGAUAGGAGUAUAAGGAGAUCCUUUCACCAGGGUGAUGACAGGUUUGAGUUUGGAGGAGUUCAGUGCAUGGCCACAGCACUGUUUCGUAUGGCAAAACAGUCAAGAGAGUGUUUUGUCAUUUAGGUGUCAGUUGUACAAAGAUUUGCGAAAAGAAAUCUUCAGCAGCAGGUCUGGUUGGUUGUGUGUUUCUGAUUUUCCCAAGCAGAGACUUGUUGACGGACAAGAGUUUACCUUUCAUUAGGGUAGGGACUUUGUGUCAGGAGAUGUUGUUGAAGGUAUACUCAGAAUGGUAGCUACUCCGGUCUUCUGACGCUGUGUUGCAAUACAUGCGCAAUCAUUCGUGACAAUGGACAGUAUGCAGUGGUUGACUCGCAUGCACGCAAUGCUUGUGGCAUGGUUUAUGGAGAGGGAAAGUGUUCUUGUAUAUUUUUCUUCAAUGGAAGGUGUAUUCCAGGACAUUUUCCUUUUAGUCUCAAGGGUUUGGUAAUCAGCUAAAGUCUUUUGCGAUAAGUGGUGUUCGUGUCACAGACUGCCUCCGUUUGAAAAACCAACAGCUCUGUGUACCAAUCCUAUAACAUUUGGAAAUGCUUUGUCCGAAGUCUGUUCAGAACGCGUUGGGAUCAAAUGUACAAAAGCUGAACGAUAAAACAUCUCAAGCCAAUUCAGAUGUUGAAUUUAUCCAUGAAGUUGUACAAAACAACCUGAAGCAUGUCACAAGCUCUAUGCAAAGAUUUAAAAAUGAAAUAUGCAAAAACAAAGUUGAUCCUACAUGUUUUGGUUCCAUUGGGAGUUCCAUGUAAAAAAAAGUAAUUGCUUCUUUAUACAAUACUGGAUAGAAAAAUUGUGUGUCCUGCUACUUUUUUGGAAUGGACAUAAUAGGCCUUACGAUUCCUGCACUGUCAAAAAAGUUGAUGGCCAAAGCCUUUAUAAUGUUUAGAUGUGUUAUCUACCCAGCAAAUGUUUUUGCUGCUGCAAUUUCCAUUCCUUUUG
ensembl:lncRNA